CUGGCGGCACGCCUAACACAUGCAAGUCGAACGAAGUAGCAAUACUUAGUGGCAGACGGGUGAGUAACAUGUGGGUAUCUGCCCUAUGGCCUGGAAUAACACGAGGAAACUUGUGCUAAUACCGGAUAAGUCUUUACAGAGAAAGCUUUAUGCACCAUUGGAUGAGCCCGCACUUGAUUAGUUUGUUGGUGGGGUAAUGGCCUACCAAGACUGUGAUCAAUAGCUGAUUUGAGAGGAUGAUCAGCCACAUUGGGACUGAGACACGGCCCAAACUCCUACGGGAGGCAGCAGUGGGGAAUCUUGCACAAUGGAGGAAACUCUGAUGCAGCGAUGCCGCGUGAGUGAAGAAGGCCCUUGGGUUGUAAAGCUCUUUCGUCGGGGAAGAAAAUGACUGUACCCGAAUAAGAAGGUC
rnacentral:rRNA from 1 species